rnacentral:lncRNA from 1 species
AGCAAGGCUGGGGCGGCAGAAGAUGGGUACUUGGGGUAAGAAAAGUCCAGCACCUGGGAUAUUGCCCUAAGAGAGUGAGCAUCAUCAGGAAGGUCGAUCACAGGAGACUGCACAGCCAUGGACAGCAGGAGGGAGGUUGUCACCUGGGGAACUGGGGUGAAGGCAAAUUAGAGCAAGGAACUGACAAAGGAAGAUGAGGAGAUGCUGAAAUCAAAUACAUCCACAAUUUUUAUCUCUGACAAAAUGCAAUUCACAGAGGUCUUCUGGGUCAAGGGAGAGCUAUCUUUCCUCAAAAUCCUCAGAUGACUUGAAUGUAUGAAGAUGACCUGGCAAUUCAUCCUUGCUCACUGUUCCAGUGCUCCUACUAGUGAAAGCACUUAGGUGUUUGAAAUGACACCAAAGAAGCUCUUUCUGAGUUGGGAAAAAUUGGUAACAGUAUAACACCUGGUGAAUAUUAUCAUCAUUAUUAUUGGAACCCACUUUUUCUCCUAUAUCUAUUUUGCUCAUUUCCAUGGAGCUAAAGACAUUGUGAAUGAUAAAGUAGAGUGGAAACCUGACCAUCGUGGCCCCUUCAGACUAUACAGGAAAUGAGGUUAUCAGAAAUUCCUUUUAAUAAUGCAAAAGCAGAAAUGUUGAAACAAAGGCUUUGAUGAAUUAUAUUUUUAAGGCCAGACUGGUUCUCUGUGUUCAAAUAUAAGCAUGAAUUAGUUCCUUCACCAACAUAUUUGUACUGUUAUAUACACCAGUUUAUGUCUCCUCGUAGUAUGUGGUCCAUUAAAACUGAGAAACAUGACAGUGAAACUACUGAUUUUUGACCAUUUACCAUAGCAACUCAUCAUGAAAAAGAACACAUUGUAGCACUAAAUCAGACAAAUAUUGCAUCAUGG